CCCGCCCGUCACAUCAACGAAAGGUGGGCUGUACUAGAAGCCGGUGCGCUGACCCGCAAGGGGAGCAGCCGUCCAAGGUAUAACUCAUGAUUGGGGUG
rnacentral:rRNA from 1 species